rnacentral:rRNA from 1 species
UACGAAGGGGGCUAGCGUUGCUCGGAAUCACUGGGCGUAAAGCGCACGUAGGCGGAUUCUUAAGUCAGGGGUGAAAUCCUGGAGCUCAACUCCAGAACUGCCUUUGAUACUGAGGGUCUUGAGUUCGGGAGAGGUGAGUAGAACUGCGAGUGUAGAGGUGAAAAUUCGUAGAUAUGGGGAGGAACACCGGUGGCGAAGGCGGCCACCUGGACGGUAACUGGACGGCUGAGACGCGAAAGCGUGGGGAGCAAACAGGAUUAAGAUA